GACGAACGCUGGCGGCGUGCUUAACACAUGCAAGUCGAGCGGUAAGGCCCUUUCGGGGGUACACGAGCGGCGAACGGGUGAGUAACACGUGGGUGACCUGCCCUCAGCUCUGGGAUAAGCCUGGGAAACCGGGUCUAAUACUGGAUAUGACUCCAUGACGCAUGUUGUGGGGUGGAAAGCCUUGUGCGGCUGAGGAUGGGCCCGCGGCCGUACUCAGCUUGUUGGUGGGGUGGAUGGCC
rnacentral:rRNA from 1 species